UGAGCAAUCUGCCCUUCUCAUCGGAAUAAGCGUUGGAAACGACGUCUAAUGCCGAAUACGACCUCCUUUCGCAUGAUCGGAGGUGGAAAGCUCCGGCGGAGAAGGAUGAGCUCGCGGCCUAUCAGCUAGUUGGUUAGGUAACGGCUCACCAAGGCGACGACGGGUAGCUGGUCUGAGAGGACGACCAGCCACACUGGAACUGAGAUACGGUCCAGACUCCGUAGGAGG
rnacentral:rRNA from 1 species